rnacentral:rRNA from 1 species
AUUGAACGCUGGCGGCAGGCUUAACACAUGCAAGUCGAGCGGAGUGAUGGUGCUUGCACUAUCACUUAGCGGCGGACGGGUGAGUAAUGCUUAGGAAUCUGCCAUUUAGUGGGGGACAACAUUCCGAAAGGAAUGCUAAUACCGCAUACGUCCUACGGGAGAAAGCAGGGGAUCUUCGGACCUUGCGCUAAAUGAUGAGCCUAAGUCGGAUUAGCUAGUUGGUGGGGUAAAGGCCUACCAAGGCGACGAUCUGUAGCGGGUCUGAGAGGAUGAUCCGCCACACUGGGACUGAGACACGGCCCAGACUCCUACGGGAGGCAGCAGUGGGGAAUAUUGGACAAUGGGCGGAAGCCUGACCCAGCCAUGCCGCGUGUGUGAAGAAGGCCUUUUGGUUGUAAAGCACUUUAAGCGAGGAGGAGGCUCUCCUAGUUAAUACCUAGGAAGAGUGGACGUUACUCGCAGAAUAAGCACCGGCUAACUCUGUGCCAGCAGCCGCGGUAACAC